AAUCAUGAAUGUGGUGUAGAAUAAGAAUAAAAUAUAAUAUGUGUAGGUAGAAAGAAGAAAGAAGAUAAAGCGGAAUAUUUAAAACUAUGUUAAUGAGUGUUAAAGUUAAUUAAGGAAGAGACAAGCGAACACGAAGACGAUGAUGAAGAAGGAAGAGGUUUGUCAGAAGUGAGAAUGUGACAGAAAUGGUGGGGUAGUCACGUGUUCUCAAAAGCCUGCAAGCCUCGUCUCAGUUCAACCAAACCACACUCUGAAACAAAACUACAUUGAAAGUAGGAAAUCUUGUCUGUGUUCAUUACUAUUACAGUGCUGUAAUCUUCUUUGUUUCUGCAUCCACUCUUCUACCUUUCUUCUCCAACAAAACCUACAUUCCUUCCUGUCUUCUUCACCUAUUUUUCAUCACUUUUUCUCUUCAUUACUUUUUAUAAUAUUUAAAUACUUUCUCUCUU
rnacentral:lncRNA from 1 species